AUAAGAAUCAUCUAGGGAUCUUGUUAACAUGCAGAUUUUGAUUAAGUCUUGGGUAAGGCCUGAGAUCCUGCAUUUCUAACGAGCUCCCAGGAGAUAUGGAA
rnacentral:miRNA from 1 species